AUAUAAGACGUGCCUUGCUUCCCCUUCACCUUCUGCCAUGAUUGUGAGUUUCCUGAGGCUUCCCAAGCCAUGCAGAACUCCACAUUCGGCUAUGCUUUGUGGACUGGAUGUGGAGUAUAAGGAAAAGGGUGGAGUUAAAGAUGAGUACAAAGUUUUUACCUGUAGAAACUGAAGAAUGGUGUUGUCAUUUCUAACCCCGGGCAUACUCUAAGACUGUGUUUGGAGGAAAGUCUCAGAAGCUUGCAGACUCAUUAGACAAGCAUUUGUUGACCAUCAUAUUUGAAGGUCUGUGCUACUCAGAGAAAACUGGAGGAAAAAAACGACAGUUUGAGGCACUUCUCUAUGCUCCUAAAGAGGUGAAAGAAACAGAGGAUUAGAGAAUAGAAGUAAUUGGUUGAAUGUCACGUGUCAAGUAAGAAAAAUAUGUAAGCUGAGCCGUUAAUGAUUAUACUAUCCUGCAUCUCUCUAAUGAAAUAAAGAGAUAACUGGGCUUUAGUGGAUGCUGCAGAAUAGGGCUGCCUGGAGAAACAAGAUUUCAUGCAGCUCUAGAUUAAGCAGGCCAAGGACACAGCAACUUUACGGAGACUCGAUCACCUUUUACUUUUGUGUUAUGAAUCUUACCCUUCACUGAAUCGUCAAAUAAUGUCAGGAAAUUGUUAUUGAUUUGUAUCAUUGACUCCGAUAAAGAGAGAACAUGGUAUCCAUCAUUGUGUGAAAUUUCACAAAAGGUUCAUUUCAAAAUGAAAUCUAAAAUAUGAUACAAUUACAUUUUAAUGGGAAGCUAGAAGAAAGAGCAACUUGAAAUCAAUGGACUACUCAGAAAAAGUGCCACCUUCAGAUACUAAAACAGCACAACAGUUAGGGGGAAAAGAAAUAUUAAAAGAAUCUAUUUGUGUGAAAAGCUGAACAUAGCAAGUGAGCAGGCCAAGUUAAAACAGAUUUGAAAAAUACUAUUAACUCUUUGACCUAAAUUUUUCCAAUAAACUCUCACAAUAAAUAGAGGGAAUAUUGAAAUGUCAUUAAUUUGCUGUUCUUACAGAGAAAACAGUAAACCUAAUUCUUUGCCAGCAGGAAGAGCAAAUGCCCUACCUAACUAGGGGUGCUUAUUUGCUAUGAAACCCAAAGCAAUUUGUAUUCUGUUAUAUUGUCUACAAUUGACAUCAAAAGAACCACAUUGAAUCAGAAUUUCAUGGCUAAAAGGGAACACAGAGGUCACAUGAUUUGAUGUCUUUCUUCUUUCCAAUAUUUGGACUGGAUUACACUGUACUGUAUAAAUAUGUUCAGAGCUUAGUCACAUGGAACUGAAAGCUAGACAAUGACUAAGAUCACCCUUAAAUGAUUCAGGCUACUAAUCUUAAAUCCUAGCCUAUUUCCAAGAAGACAAACUUUAAAUAUUUGAAUAUUUUAAAAGCUAGAUUAACUAUUUGUAGGUAGAAUAUCUUUUUCAUUUGUUGUCGAUAAAAGAACAAAGUAGAACUGUACCUAGCUAGAAUCCUCAUGUAUAUUUUCAUAUCUUUAAAAGUACACUCAGAGAAAUCAGGUUAAAGCCAGCAUAAUAUUAGCAUCUUUUUUUUUCUGCAGAGGAUAAGAAAUGGGAUGGAGAAAGAUACAAGGAAGACAAAAGUUGCAUCUUCAUAAGCAAACAAACUUUAUAAGCAAACAAAAUGUUAACAUUAGUUAAUCCUGAGCUGUAUUUAGGUAUUUGUUUCUCUCUGUUUUAACUACUAGUUAGAAAUAUUUAAUAGUAAAUAUAUGCAAUACUCUUGUAUUAAAUAUUACCAUGUAUGUAUCUGUGCAAGUGUAUCUAUUUUUAUAUAUUGUGUAUGUAUAAAAUCCAUACUGAUUCACAGCAGAACAUCAAUGCAAGUCCACAGUUCCUUAUCUAAAGUCUUUGGGGCCAGAUGAGUUUUGAAAUGUGAAUAGCUCAGAGCUGAGAAUGGUAACGUAACACCGAGAGUGUUUAUUACAUGACACCCUCUGGGAGAUUGGGGGCAGCACUGUUUAAUCAAACCUAUCAUGAAAUCAGCUGCCUAAAGGCCUCACAGUGGUUCAGGGCAGCUUGGGUUUUGCCUCUAAACUCAUUUUUAAAAAGCUUAUUGCUUUCCAAAUUUAAUUUUCUAAAUUGCUGAUUGGAUAUUAUAGGGCUGUCAUGGCCUUCUUGAGAGUGAAAUGUGAGGGGAUUUUUUUUCUUAUUUUUCUUUUAUUCAUCUGUAGUUUCCAAAAUAAAUGUGUGCUGUAGCCAACUCAUAGGCAGAUUAAGUGGGGAGGCACAGAGGAAAAGUCUUAGCUUCUCUGGGGUGAAUUCAAUGUGACCGAGGCCUCGAAGGAACUCAGCAUUGAGGCUGAUUGGAAAGAAAAAGCAACACAAGGUGCUGAGCCACCAGCAGGGGGAUGAAGGGAGAGGGAAGAGCAGGGCUGGGUUAGAAACCCUCACACAUCCAUUGCAGCCAAAUCACAAAAUCUAACCAAACCACUGCCCAUCUACAAACUAGUUAAUAUGCCCCCAGAUAAUAAGGGAUAGUCUCCAUUUGCACUGCAAAGCAAAACCAUUACUAUAUCCAAAAAGGAGAACAUUAAAGAGAAAACAAAAUUGCAUUCACUGAAACUCUUCAGUAAUGGUGAUGGGUCCAUGAGAGCUUCCAGCUGUAGACAGAAAUGGCAUGUGUUUCAACUCAUAUUUCUAAAUUACUUACUACUAGAAAGGACAUUCUGUUUUCUUCUCAAUAUGUCAAUUAAUGACAAACUCUGAACGAUCUUCUUGGUGAGUUUCAUUCCAACUAAAAGCAAACUGAAUGAAAACAAUUUUCUAUAGAAUAUAAAUGCAGGAGGCAAAAGAUCAAAUUGUUCUGAUUUCAUUGCCCUGCUCCUUUCAAUGGAGAUUGACACCAAAAUGAUUCUAUGACCAGCCUUUGUGUCAAAUGCUUCCCAAUUAAGAGCUGCUAGUAUUCAUGAUGUCUUUGUCCAUUAAAUAUGAGAACAGAAUAAAUUGAUCUUUGAGAAGGGACGUUGGGGACCUUCACUGAGUAAAGAAGCCUUUAAUGAUCGAGCCUAGAGUUCUGAUCAAGCGGGAAUUCCCUUUUUAAAACAGAGAACACUAACAUUUAUUGAGUGUCUACUAUUUCCAGACAAUAUCCAAGGAAUAACUACAGCAAUAAAACAGCUAAAUUCUGUGUUUGUGCCAGAUUUGCUUCCAUGUGCUUUACAAGUAUACACCAUAUAAUCCUCACAAUAACUGUAUAAAGUAGAGAACAGUAAUUGAUUACAGUUGAUGCUUAUGCCCUAGUCUUCCUGCUUUCAUGGGGAGGCGGUUCACUGUAGUAACAUUGCUGUUACUUACCCCUCACUCCGUGGGAGGAGGAAGAUUUACCUGACUGUGAAGUUAGAAGAGUAACCUGGGGGAGCUCGAUUCAUCCUCUUCUCCCAUUCAACACCCACUAUUGGGAGCCAGCCUGUCCUCAGGAGGCAUGCACACUGAUAUUAUCUCUGGCUAAAGAUUUUAUUACUGUGCUUACCUUAAUUCACACCUUGACAGGUUCGGGGUACAUGUGAAGAUUUGUUACAUAGGCAAACACGUGUCACGGGGACUUGUACAGAUUAUUUCGUCACCCAGUGCUCAGUUCAGGAGUCAUCUCCUUCAACAAGGCAUCUCGAAUCCAUCUGAAUCACCUUCCAUCCCUCUUAAAGCAUCCUUCAUAACCGAUUGCAAUUCCUUGCUUAUCUACUUCAGCUACCAGACUGAGACCACCUCAAAGGCAGGGAUCGUGGCAUCCAUCUUUGUGC